UGUUGCAGUUAAAAAGCUCGUAGUUGGAUUUCUGCGGGGGCGGGGCGGCCGGAUGCUUAUAGCAUCUCGAGCUAGCACUUCCCCCGCAUCCUGCCGCGAACCGUGCUACCAUUAGUUUGGUGGCGCUGGGGAUCGGCUCGUUUACUUUGAGAAAAAUAGAGUGUUCAAAGCAGGCCACACGCCUUGAAUAAGUUAGCAUGGAAUAAUGAUAAAGGACUUCGGUUCUAUUUUGUUGGUGUUCGGGACUGAAGUAAUGAUUGAUAGGGACAGUUGGGGCGGUCAGUAUUCCAAAGCGAGAGGUGAAAUUCUUAGACCUUCGGAAGACUAACAGCUGCGAAAGCGUUCCGCAAGGAUGUUCCCUUUGAUCAAGAACGAAAGUUGGGGGAUCGAAGACGAUCAGAUACCGUCGUAGUCUCAACUAUAAACUAUACCAGCUAGGGAUCGGCCGACGUUUACUUAUAUCGACUCGGUCGGCACCUUAUGAGAAAUCAAAGCUUC
rnacentral:rRNA from 1 species